rnacentral:ncRNA from 1 species
AUAAAUUCUGCUGAAAAGGGAAUCAGGUGAAAGUCCUGAACAGACCCGCUGCUGUAAGCUCCGGUAAAGAUCCGAAACAUUACUUUAUUCCACUGUUUAUUGAUGUAAAACGGGAAGGAGGUUUUAGGAUGGAGCAAGUCAGAAGACCUGCCAUAAUAAAU